UUUUGUUUCCUGAACAUAUGUUAAAUUGGAACAAUACAGAGAAGAUUAGCGUGGCCCAUGCGCAAGGAUGACACGCAAAUGCCUAAAAUUCUUCAUACAGUA
rnacentral:snRNA from 1 species